UGGUGAGAAGUUGUUUAAAGGCACUUAAAAGCUCCCUUUUAUAGCCCUACAAGCAAUAGAUCCGUUAGACACAAAGAUAUUACCGUUUGAAAUUCAAACAAACCUGCAAAAGUAUGUCAGUCGCGUCCCAGGCGCUCCGGAGACGUCUCCGCCUGACCGCGAGACGUCUCGGCUGUAUAAAAAUUCUUUUGACGAUGUUUGGAGUCGACUCGGCGCUUUUUGGGGUCGACUCUGAAGAAGAACAGCUCGACUUCUUGUUUUUCUGCUUUUCUGAGAGAGUCGGCUCGGCA
rnacentral:lncRNA from 1 species